CUCUCAAAGCAGACUGUUUCAGACUGCCGUGCACUGAGAGCGUGAAGGUUUCCUCACAGGCAGAGGCCUUGGAGGCACCAUGGUGCAGCGGCAGCAGAGAGGUUCUGAAGGGUAGGAAGGGUUUUGACGACCCAGGAAAAGAGUGGAACAACAGAGGCUCAGCCAUGAGGAGCUGCUGGUGUCUUCAGAGAGUGGGAGGGGACAAGAAGGUGCAACUAAGACGGGAAAGAGACUUCGUUUCUAUAACCAAUCAUGUAGAGUGCCCCAGACACAGCCUCAGAAGACCACGGUCCUCCCCAAAUCAAUGGCUUCUCCAUGCUAGGCCCAGUCUUCCCAUCAGCAAGGUUGAUGCGAACGUCCCCCACUGGAAGUUCUCAUUCCGAGAAGGUGAUGCUGACUUUUGAGAGGAGACCUGUGGUCGUGGUGCAGCGUUCUCCACGUGCUUGACGAAACAACAGCUGCAGAGAUGAAGGAGACGCAUGUCUUCACAUGUUUGGGGGCCGAGCAUCCUGGUGCUCAGACAUCAGACCUGGAGAAAGAAUAUGAAGAUGCUUCAGAUCUAGGGGGAGAAAAUAGAGGUAGAUGUUCAGGUGUGGAGUCUGAGGAGAAACCGUACAGAUGUUCAGAUGUUAGACCUGGGAAGAUUGUACAGUUUUGUGGUGUUUUUCCCUUAUUCUCCAUUUUAAUGAAUGGAUUCCAGGUUUUAGUUUAGGGUGGUUUUGAUAAUAGUUUUUGUCACCUUAAGAGGUCUGUGAUCCUAUCACUUAAGAGACUUGGGCAGGAGGAGUGUAUUUAAAGCCAGCUUGGGUUACAUAGCAAGAACCCAUCUAAAUAAACAGAAGAACCCCCCAAACCAGUUUGCUUCUAUAACUAUACUCUCAUUAAGAAUAUUUCAAAUAUCAAAACAAAGAGAAGUGCAAUAAACACUUGUUCCCAGCACAUUAAUAAUCUCUAAUUUGACAUAGUUUGCCUCGAUAUAAAUAUUGGUAUUUAUAUUGGCUCAACCUGGUAUUUUUGCCAUUUGUUUAUUUUUUGUUUCAUUUUUUUAUGUUUUUAAAGAUUUAUUUCUUUUAUUUUGUGAAAGCAUAUUGUCACUGUCUUCAGACACACCAGAAAAGGGCGUCAGAUCCCAUUACAGAUGGUUGUGAGCCACCAUGUGGUUGCUGGGAAUUGAACUCAGGACCUUUAGAAAAGCAGUCAGUGCUCUUAACCACUCAGGCAUCUCUCCAGCCCUGUAUUUUAUUUUUUAUUAGCACGGAUCAAUUCUACUUCUUAUGUUUGUAAGUCCUCACAUUAACAGCUGUGAAUAAAAAAAAUCAAGUCAGAGACAAAUUGGUAUCUGUGACCACUAAUUUGAGGAUUCUGGGUCCAGGGCUAUAACCCUAACAGCAAGGAUUCCUAGCCAUCGCCCUGAGUUGUCAAAGCUCGGACAAGACACUAAAGUCACCAAAGCCUUGGUGUCUGCAUACAGUAAGGCUAGCCAGUCAUCGCAGGAUGGUCGGGAAGGUCAAGGAGGAGAAGCCACAUGUAAAACACAUACCGUAGGGGCUGCAGCGAUGGAGGAUCCUGAGUUGCCGCAGUUACUGUGCUAUUGCUCGAUGAAUUGUUAGCUGCCUUGUUUCUGAGUGCUGUUCCCCUCUCUGCUCAGCAUCCACAAACAGCAUUUGAGAAGCAGAACAUCCACCCCGUGGCUCUGUUAACACCAAACUCUCCAAUGAGGACUGAAUUAUGACUCCUGCUCACCGCUUGGAAAAUGCUCUCUCUCUGUUCUGCAGAUCUAUUGUAAUGACCCCUCAAAUUGCAGCAGAAAGUGGGGAGUCGACUGGUGAUAUUUAGAUCAGGUGUCUAGGACCUCAGUGGUGUGAUCGUUUGCUUUAAAUUUUUUAAGAUAUGCAAAUGCGGCGUGAAGGUGCUGCAGUGCCCCUCCACCCCCGCUGUCAGCACCCUGUCUUGUCAGAAUUUAUUGUUUUAAAACAUAUGAAACAUUUUACUGUGUGACUAUAAGUCAUCGUAAACAUGGCGUGAAUGAUGUGCACAUGGCUAAGGUGCCUCAAGAAUCAUCUGUUGCCCAGAACGUUCUGGUCUUCUUGUUAUUCUUAUAAAAUGGCUUAACUUUGUCCAGGGCUUAGCAGGGCUCUGCAUUUGAAACAGGAUACACUCAGGCAAACUUUCGGCAUUGAGCGGUGUGGAUUUCAUGUUUGUGGAUGUGAUUACGCACACAUCUUUGACAAUAAACAAAAGAAAUUAAGGGUGAUGUAGUGCAGGCAAGUUUAUAUAACUGAGAAGGUCCAAUUGCCGUCCUGAAGACAACCCAAUACAACUAGAGAGCGAAACUACUUUGGAUCAGCUCCAUAUACUUUCCAGCCCACAGUUAAAUUUCUAAUUAUCUUUUUAAAAGUCACUUUGUCUUUAUAUUGCUUUUAUGAUUGCAGGAGAAAUUGGGAAGCUAGAACAAAGGAAUUCCACACCCCUCACCUCCAGUUCCUCCUGUGAGUCACAACUGAGAGGGAUGACACAUUUGGUGACAAGAUUAACAGUCGUGUGUUAGCAGUUGAAAUCUGUAUUUUACUCUUAGGUCCUUGGAAUUCGCAUCCAUCCUUUUCCUGUUCCAAGAGCCUGCCGUGAGUUCCACAUUAGAUUUCUGUUUUUCUAUGAUUCCUGGAUGUGUUGGUUUCUCGGAUUUACUGACAGUCUCAAGGUCUUCCCAUCUUAUUGGCCUCCUUUCCCCACCUUUUCAUUCACAUUUUGUUGCUGCUGCCGCUGUUAUAUGACAGGCCCCCAGACCUCAGUAGGCUUCCAGACUUCAGAACAACUGAUUUCAUAACGGAAGUGCCAUUCAGGCCAUAAAACUCGGCAUGUAAAUAGCACCACCUGUCAAGACAAAAACAAAAACCUAAUCUGUAGAAGUCCAUAGUUCUGGGGGGUUUCUAAAUGUCCUAACCUUGCUUUUUUUGGCUUCUAGAGUUCUUCUUCUGACUAACCAGGCUUGUUAACUGAAGCAUGUCAACCCAGGAUAUGGUUUUUGUGCUUAAAUGCUCACCCUGACAAAGGCUGUUGCUACCGUGGAAUCCUAUUACCCAGUGUAGUGGCUAGCCAGGAUCUUGCUAUGAGUCGGCUGGCCUGGAACAGAAGGAACUCGGACCUGAGUCUCCCAAGCUCUGAGAUCACCAGUGUACACCAUGCCUUUCCAGUCCUAAGCCCUUAGACGACUGGACAGCCCAGUGUCCUGAGACACUUCGGAUGGCCUCUGCAGGGAUGUGCAUUCUAACAUAGCAGCGUGAUUGGCUAGUAGCUCCGUUUUUACAAAUGCACUUGUGUUGACUUAUAGAUUGGGACAUUUCUAUACAAAAUUGCUUUCUAGUAAUUAGAUAAUUUGAGAUGUGUUUUAUAACCCCGAUUUUAAUUUUACUUAAAUUUAAAGUUCACUCCAGUUAUAAACAUAA